rnacentral:rRNA from 1 species
UACGUAGGGUGCAAGCGUUAAUCGGAAUUACUGGGCGUAAAGCGUGCGCAGGCGGCUUUGCAAGACAGAUGUGAAAUCCCCGGGCUUAACCUGGGAACUGCAUCCGAUACUGGAUGGCUUGAAUCCGGGAGAGGGAUGCGGAAUUCCAGGUGUAGCGGUGAAAUGCGUAGAUAUCUGGAGGAACACCGGUGGCGAAGGCGGCAUCCUGGACCGGCAUUGACGCUGAGGAGCGAAAGCCAGGGGAGCAAAGCGGG